UUCCAUGUAAAAAGGGAAAGAGAUUGAACUAUACAACACAAAAAUGAACAUUAAAAAUCCAAAAUUCUAAGAAAUGAACCCAGAGAAAGCGAGAGUAUCAGAAAGACGAUGAAGAUUGUUAAUGGGGUGUGGGUUACUUUGUCGCGCUGUCAUAACUGAUUGUGCAACAGAAAUAACGAACUUUACGGCUACUCUCACCAUAGUUUUGCACAAAUAUAUUUUUUGGAUCAACAUAACUUCUCUUCUCUUCUCUUGUUUGUUUUUGUCUUGUCUUGUGUUUCUUAAAGCUGAUUGUUGUGUUCGGAUCUGAAUAAGGGUGAGGCUUUAAAUAGAGUAUGAUAGUACAACG
rnacentral:lncRNA from 1 species